rnacentral:lncRNA from 1 species
AGGAGAUGCACUAUCUCAGAUGAACCCACUAUUAUGUAAUUUCUUAAUAUGUUUCCUCAAUUCUUCCAUCUCUAUACGACUCAUGCGGUGAGGGACAACUAAGAUAGGUUGGGUAUCAAGUUAAAGGUCUAUGGUGAACUUAAUUUUCUUGUCUACUAACAGUCCGAGUAGUUCAUCAGGAAUAUAUCCGAAAGUUCUCGAACCAUGGGGAUUUCUUGAAUGUAAACUUCUCUCUUAAGUUCAUCCUGUAUCACGUCCGAGUCGACUUCAGCAUCUUGCGGGGUGAAGGUAUAGAUUACGCCCUGAACUGGAGGUUUGGCCUGAUUUUUGAUUUCGCAGACACUCUCUCGCGUAAUGCUGGGCACUUUCGCAAAUGUGGCAGGUGUUGUUGAGGCGAUAGUGGGGUCGGUCCCCAUGGUCCUUGUUGUGGUGUU